UACGUAGGGUCCGAGCGUUGUCCGGAAUUAUUGGGCGUAAAGAGCUCGUAGGCGGUUUGUCGCGUCUGCUGUGAAAUCCCGAGGCUCAACCUCGGGCCUGCAGUGGGUACGGGCAGACUUGAGUGGUGUAGGGGAGACUGGAAUUCCUGGUGUAGCGGUGGAAUGCGUAGAUAUCUGGAGGAACAUCAGUGGCGAAGGCGGCCUUCUGGUCCAGUACUGACACUCAAGUGCGAAAGCGUGGGGAGCAAACAGG
rnacentral:rRNA from 1 species